rnacentral:rRNA from 1 species
GUGAGGAAUUUUCCGCAAUGGGCGAAAGCCUGACGGAGCAAUGCCGCGUGGAGGAAGACUGCCUAUGGGUUGUAAACUUCUUUUCUCAGAAAAGAAAAAAAUGACGGUAUCUGAGGAAUAAGCAUCGGCUAACUCUGUGCCAGCAGCCGCGGUAAGACAGAGGAUGCAAGCGUUAUCCGAAAUUAUUGGGCGUAAAGCGUCUGUAGGUGGUUUAAAAAGUACACUGUUAAAGAUUAAGGCUUAACCUUAGAAAAGCAGAGUAAACUUUUAAGCUAGAGUUUGGUAGGGGUAAAGGGAAUUUCCGGUGGAGCGGUGAAAUGCGAUGAUCUCGGGAGGAACACCAAAAGCGAAAGCACUUUGCUGGGCCAAGACUGACACUAAGAGACGAAAGCAAGGGGAGCAAAUGGGAUUAGAAACCCUAGUAGUCC